rnacentral:rRNA from 1 species
GACGAACGCUGGCGGCGUGCUUAACACAUGCAAGUCGAACGGCAAGGCCCUGCUUUUGUGGGGUGCUCGAGUGGCGAACGGGUGAGUAACACGUGAGUAACCUGCCCUUGACUUUGGGAUAACUUCAGGAAACUGGGGCUAAUACCGGAUAGGAGCUCCUGCUGCAUGGUGGGGGUUGGAACGUUUCGGCGGUUGGGGAUGGACUCGCGGCUUAUCAGCUUGUUGGUGGGGUAGUGGCUUACCAAGGCUUUGACGGGUAGCCGGCCUGAGAGGGUGACCGGCCACAUUGGGACUGAGAGACGGACCAGACUCCUACGGGAGGCAGCAGUGGGGAAUAUGGUACAAUGGGCGGAAGCCUGAUGCAGCAACGCCGCGGGCGGGAUGACGGCCUGCGGGGUGUAAACCGCUUUCGCCUGUGACGAAGCGUGAGUGACGGUAAUGGGUAAAGAAGCACCGGCUAACUACGUG